rnacentral:tRNA from 1 species
GGGUCUUCUCGCUCAGAGCGCCACCUUGCCAAGGUGGAUGUCGACGGUUCGAAUCCGUUCAGUCUCCG